AGUGAACGCUGGCGGUAGGCCUAACACAUGCAAGUCGAACGGCAGCACAGUAAGAGCUUGCUCUUACGGGUGGCGAGUGGCGGACGGGUGAGGAAUACAUCGGAAUCUACUUUUUCGUGGGGGAUAACGUAGGGAAACUUACGCUAAUACCGCAUACGACCUACGGGUGAAAGCAGGGGAUCUUCGGACCUUGCGCGAUUGAAUGAGCCGAUGUCGGAUUAGCUAGUUGGCGGGGUAAAGGCCCACCAAGGCGACGAUCCGUAGCUGGUCUGAGAGGAUGAUAGGCCAAACUGAAACUGGGACACGGCCCAGCUUCCUAGGGGAGCCAGCGUUGGGAAUAUUGGACAAUGGGCGCAAGCCUGAUCCAGCCAUACCGCGUGGGUGAAGAAGGCCUUCGGGUUGUAAAGCCCUUUUGUUGGGAAAGAAAAGCAGCAGGUUAAUACCCCGCUGUUCUGACGGUACCCAAAGAAUAAGCACCGGCUAACUUCGUG
rnacentral:rRNA from 1 species